AUACGUAGGGUGCAAGCGUUAAUCGGAAUUACUGGGCGUAAAGGAUGCGUAGGUGGAUAUUUAAGUGGGAUGUGAAAUCCCCGGGCUCAACCCGGGAACUGCAUUCCAAACUGGGUAUCUAGAGUGCAGGAGAGGAAAGCGGAAUUCCUAGUGUAGCGGUGAAAUGCGUAGAUAUUAGGAGGAACACCAGUGGCGAAGGCGGCUUUCUGGACUGUAACUGACACUGAGGCAUGAAAGCGUGGGUAGCAAACAGGAUUAGAUACCCUGGUAGUCCACGCCGUAAACGAUGGGUACUAGGUGUAGGAGGUAUCGACCCCUUCUGUGCCGUCGUUAACACAAUAAGUACCCCGCCUGGGGAGUACGGUCGCAAGACUAAAACUCAAAUGAAUUGACGGGG
rnacentral:rRNA from 1 species